CCUCAAUCCACCCUCAAUCCCUUUCACCCUCUCAAGCUCACACACACUCUCAUCCUCCUGCGAUUCCGGCAAAGCAAGUUUGGGAACCAUCUCCAAGCACCUCUUGAGUAUACAAGUUCGAGUUCUUGCUCGGUCGGUCGCACUCUGCAAUUUUCAGCUUAUCUUUUUCUCUCUCUUGCCUUGUUUUGCAUAUUGUUAUUGUUGGUCUUUCAAGUGAUUUAUCUCUCAGAUCAGUUGUGUUCUAGGGGGAAGAGGACACUCGAAGUAGCCGGUUGAAAUUGUCAAUAUUCCUGCUGCUAAUGUAGCCUCAAUUUGGUUUUAAUGUUGCAAAGAACGUCAAGGGCAGACAAUCUUGAGGAUCAAUGAUAUCUUUUGCUAUACUAGAUGAAUCACUAGUACAUUCAAACAAUUGAUACCUUGGACAAAAGAAGAGUUGACAGGUUAGAUGAAAGCUCAAUGCUAGCUAUCAGUUGAGUGACGAGCCCAGAUUUCUCUGUUGUAGUGAGGUGGGAUCUGAUAUCAUCACUUGUGCUCAUGGAGGAGCUCAUAUUGAGUGCGGUUCUAAAAUGAAACGCUUAAGUGUAUGAAGGAAGUCGGUGAAAUCGACACUUGUUAAUAUAUUUGUACUCUAUAGUUAGUGAUAUGGGAAAACAAUUUCAGUAGCUUUCAAGAUAUUAUGCUGAUCACAACAAUGGCCGUACUUGAAAUUAGCUAAUGUAAAAGCUAGCUGAUGUA